rnacentral:rRNA from 1 species
ACGGGAGGCAGCAGUGAGGAAUAUUGGACAAUGGAGGCAACUCUGAUCCAGCCAAACCGCGUGAAGGAAGACGGUCCUAUGGAUUGUAAACUUCUUUUGUAAGGGGAUAAACCUAGAUAUGUAUAUCUAGCUGAAGGUACCUUACGAAUAAGCAUCGGCUAACUCCGUGCCAGCAGCCGCGGUAAUACGGAGGAUGCAGGCGUUAUCCGGAUUUAUUAGGUUUAAAGGGUGCGCAGGCGGGACACUAAGUCGGCGGUGAAAUCUCAUGGCCCAACCAUGAAACUGCCAUCGAUACUGGUGACCUUGAGUACGAAUGAGGAAGGCGGAAUGAGUCGUGUAGCGGUGAAAUGCUUAGAUAUGACGAAGAACACCGAUUGCGUAGGCAGCAGACCAGGCCGUAAAUGACGCUCAUGCACGAAAGUGCGGGGAUCGAACAGGAUUAGAUACCCUGGUA